CACGUGGGUGAUCUGCCCUGCACUUCGGGAUAAGCCUGGGAAACUGGGUCUAAUACCGGAUAGGAGCCAUUUUUAGUGUGAUGGUUGGAAAGUUUUUUCGGUGUAGGAUGAGCUCGCGGCCUAUCAGCUUGUUGGUGGGGUAAUGGCCUACCAAGGCGGCGACGGGUAGCCGGCCUGAGAGGGUGGACGGCCACAUUGGGACUGAGAUACGGCCCAG
rnacentral:rRNA from 1 species